UUAAUACCAAAUUAGGCAAAUUUUUAGAUUCACAUUUUCAUAACACAAAAACAAAAAAAAAUAAUUUUAAUUCUACUUUCCUUUUAAAGCAGAAUUAAUCUAUAUGUGUGUUGUGCUCCCAACCAUGCAGAGCUCAUCAGUGGAUGAGAUUUCCUCUGACUACCAUUAUUUCGAUAUAUAUUAAGAGCUCCUUAUGAACAGCAAAUGAUCCAAGCAAUAUUUUGCAUAAGUAAGAAUGAGAAAGCACUCUCCCAAAUGUCUUCUAACAAAAUAAAUUACUGGAUAAAACUUAGUAAAUGCCAAGGGGCUGAUGUUUUCCUUUUUGUUUGUCUUUUUGUUUACAUUUCUAUUUUGGUCUAUGUCCCCAAUGCAAGAAAGUUCUUCAAAAGAUGUAUUUCUGAAGAGUUGUCAACAUAUUAAUAGAGGUGGCACUUCUCAAAUCAAGUGGGAAUCGGUUCUAUAUUUCAAGUGUAGAACAGGAAAAGGCUUGAAUUCCUUAAGGGCUCCAGACAACUGUUUAUUAAACUUUCACAGGCUACUUCACAAAACAGAAACAGAGGGCAGAUAUAAAGAAGUCUUGAAGAGAAAAACACCGAUGGCCAAAUUCUCCCUCAUUCCACACAAACAUGUGCAUGUACAUGCAGGUACAUAUCCCUUCCAGCCAAGGGCUGUUUUGAGGACGAAAUGUAGAGUGCUUCUUCAACCUUUAGUUCCAGUAAAAAUAAUUAUUAUUCAUUUCCUUCUCUCGUUCCUAUUUUUGAAAGAGAGCUAAUAGAAAUUGUCCUGGGGGUAAGUAGGUCUUCAAGUUUCUUUUUUUUUUUUUAAUAUCCAGAGGGCAAACACAAAAGUUGAUAAAAUGGUCACUUUUUACAAUCAAAUAAAAGUAUUGUGAAGUUAGGUAAUGGCUCA
rnacentral:lncRNA from 1 species